CGCGGCCUAUCAGCUUGUUGGAGAGGUAACGGCUCACCAAGGCAUCGACGGGUAGCUGGUCUGAGAGGAUGAUCAGCCACACUGGAACUGAGACACGGUCCAGACUCCUACGGGAGGCAGCAGUGGGGAAUCUUGCACAAUGGGCGCAAGCCUGAUGCAGCAACGCCGCGUGCGGGAAGACGGCCCUAGGGUUGUAAACCGCUUUCAGGAGGGAAGAAAAUGACGGUACCUCCAGAAGAAGGUGCGGCCAACUACGUGCCAGCAGCCGCGGUGACACGUAGGCACCAAGCGUUGUCCGGAUUUAUUGGGCGUAAAGAGCUCGUAGGCGGUUCAGUAAGUCGGGUGUGAAAACUCUGGGCUCAACCCAGAGACGCCACCCGAUACUGCUGUGACUUGAGUACGGUAGGGGAGCGGGGAAUUCCUGGUGUAGCGGUGAAAUGCGCAGAUAUCAGGAGGAACACCAGUGGCGAAGGCGCCGCUCUGGGCCGUAACUGACGCUGAGGAGCGAAAGCGUGGGUAGCAAACAGGAUUAGAUACCCUGGUAGUCCACGCCGUAAACGUUGGGCACUAGGUGUGGGUCUCAACCAACGAGAUCCGCGCCGUCGCUAACGCAUUAAGUGCCCCGCCUGGGGAGUACGG
rnacentral:rRNA from 1 species